UACGUAGGGGGCAAGCGUUGUCCGGAAUCAUUGGGCGUAAAGCGCGUGUAGGCGGCCUUGUAAGUCCGUUCUGAAAGCCCGGGGCUCAACCCCGGGUCGGCCGUGCGGACUGGGAGCUCGAGCACUGUAGGGGCGGGUGGAAUUCCGGGUGUAGCGGUGGAAUGCGUAGAGAUCCGGAAGAACACCGGUGGCGAAGGCGGCCCGCUGGGCAGGAAGACCGUCGUCAAGAGGUCGGCUGACACUGAGGCGCGACAGCGUGGGGAGCAAAGGG
rnacentral:rRNA from 1 species